UGGAAGGCUACCACGCGUGUACAACGAGUAUACCAUACCAACUUGUUGAUGCAACCGAUACGAUACAUAUUGAAUAAGCGAAAGGCAAUCCGGGUACAAUCCGGAGCCUGUUGGGUAUACGUUAACAUUGGCGUCCUAUACCGGCAAAGGUAGCGCUUUUGUAAUCAUGGCAACAUGAAUUCUUUUCUUCGAGAAGCCAACAAGAGAUAUUAGAAGAGUUCUCUUUUCUGUUUUACAGUCACACUAGCCAUGGAAGUCUCUAAUAGAGGGAUAUGGUUGAACAGGCUGGUAGAGCAUGAUAUUAAAUUGCUGUGUCGAUAUUCUCUUCUUGGACCUUGAAAAUCGUAGACUGGGGCACGCAAACUCCCAACAGCUUGUACCGAAUCCGCAGCAGGUCUCCAAGGUUUUUAGAGUCUCU
rnacentral:ncRNA from 1 species